UAAGGAGGACCCCGUGACUUCCCAGCACCUUGCGUGCGGGUGGGGUUGUGGGGUCGCAGAGAAUAGGGAGAAGCGACUGUUUAUCAAAAACACAGGUGCGUGCGAAGCCGUAAGGCGAUGUAUACGCACUGACGCCUGCCCGGUGCUGGAAGGUUAAGAGGAACCGUCAACACCCCCCUGGGGUGUGAAGCGGUGAAUUUAAGCCCCAGUAAACGGCGGUGGUAACUAUAACCAUCCUAAGGUAGCGAAAUUCCUUGUCGGGUAAGUUCCGACCUGCACGAAUGGCGUAACGACUUCUCCGCUGUCUCAACCGCGAACUCGGUGAAAUUGCAGUACGAGUAAAGAUGCUCGUUUCGCGCAGAAGGACGGAAAGACCCCGGGACCUUUACUAUAGCUUGGUAUUGGUGUUCGCUUGGACUUGUGUAGGAUAGGUGGGAGACUGUGAAGGCGCCGCGCCAGCGGUGGUGGAGUCGUCGUUGAAAUACCAUUCUGGUUCAAGCGGUCACCUCAACCUUGGCCCGUGAUCCGGGUUGGGGACAGUGCCUGGUGGGUAGUUUAACUGGGGCGGUUGCCUCCUAAAAUGUAACGGAGGCGCUCAAAGGUUCCCUCAGCCUGGUUGGUAAUCAGGUGGCGAGUGCAAGUGUACAAGGGAGCUUGACUGUGAGACCGACGGGUCGAGCAGGUGCGAAAGCAGGAACUAGUGAUCCGGCCAUGGCACGUGGGUGCGUGGUCGCUCAACGGAUAAAAGGUACCCCGGGGAUAACAGGCUGAUCUUGCCCAAGAGUCCAUAUCGACGGCAUGGUUUGGCACCUCGAUGUCGGCUCGUCGCAUCCUGGGGCUGGAGUUGGUCCCAAGGGUUGGGCUGUUCGCCCAUUAAAGCGGUACGCGAGCUGGGUUCAGAACGUCGUGAGACAGUUCGGUCCCUAUCCUCUGUGCGCGUAGGAAAUUUGAGAAGGGCCGUCCCUAGUACGAGAGGACCGGGAUGGACGAACCUCUGGUGUGCCAGUUGUACCGCCAGGUGCAUGGCUGGUUGGCUACGUUCGGAAGGGAUAACCGCUGAAAGCAUCUAAGCGGGAAGCCUGCUUCAAGAUGAGGUUUCCGCGCCCCCUCAGUGGGGUGAGAGGCCCCCGCCAGACUAGCGGGUUGAUAGGCCAGAGGUGGAAGCACCGCGAGGUGCUCGUGAGCCGACUGGUACUAAUGGGCCAACACUAAACAAC
rnacentral:rRNA from 1 species